rnacentral:ncRNA from 1 species
GAUCUUCAGGGCGGGGUGAAAGUCCCCACCGGCAGUUAAAGUCUGCGACCCGCUUCGGCGGCUGAUCCGGUGAGAUUCCGGAACCGACGGUUACAGUCCGGAUGGAAGAAGAUG